CUCCUGGGCAGAGGGCUGCCUUCUGUGUGGGCUUGCCCCUCGCCACACCUGGCCAGGAGCCUCCCCCAGCCCCGUGACCCUUGUGUCAGAGCCUGGCCAGAUGACAGACGGCCUGGGGUGCAGGCGAGACCCACUGAACUGGCAGCUGAGGACAGGUCCAGGCCCAGUGGCUGGGGGACUUCUCAGAGCAGGUACCACAACAGCUACCCAAGGACUCAGGACUUUUCUCCCACAGCCAGACUUGGUGAUUGCAUGAAGGAGCCCAGCCUCGGAUG
rnacentral:lncRNA from 1 species